UUGGGAAUAUUGGACAAUGGGGGAAACCCUGAUCCAGUGACGCCGCGUGAAGGAAGAAGGUCUUCGGAUUGUAAACUUAUUUUAUCAGGGAAGAAAAAAAUGACUGUACCUGAAGAAGAAGGACCGGCUAACUACGUGCCAGCAGCCGCGGUAAUACGUAGGGUCCAAGCGUUAUCCGGAUUUACUGGGUGUAAAGGGCGAGUAGACGGCAUAAUAAGUCAGAUGUGAAAUCUUAGGGCUCAACCUUAAGACUGCAUCUGAAACUGUUAAGCUAGAGUGCAGGAGAGGAAAGCGGAAUUCCUAGUGUAGCGGUGAAAUGCGUAGAUAUUAGGAGGAACACCAGUGGCGAAGGCGGCUUUCUGGACUGUAACUGACGUUGAGGCGCGAAAGUGUGGGGAGCAAACA
rnacentral:rRNA from 1 species